rnacentral:rRNA from 1 species
GACGAACGCUGGCGGCGUGCUUAACACAUGCAAGUCGAACGGAAAGGCCCUGCUUUUGUGGGGUGCUCGAGUGGCGAACGGGUGAGUAACACGUGAGUAACCUGCCCUUGACUUUGGGAUAACUUCAGGAAACUGGGGCUAAUACCGGAUAGGAGCUCCUGCUGCAUGGUGGGGGUUGGAAAGUUUCGGCGGUUGGGGAUGGACUCGCGGCUUAUCAGCUUGUUGGUGGGGUAGUGGCUUACCAAGGCUUUGACGGGUAGCCGGCCUGAGAGGGUGACCGGCCACAUUGGGACUGAGAUACGACCCAGACUCCUACGGGAGGCAGCAGUGGGGAAUAUUGCACAAUGGGCGGAAGCCUGAUGCAGCAACGCCGCGUGCGGGAUGACGGCCUUCGGGUGGUAAACCGCUUUCGCCUGUGACGAAGCGUGAGUGACGGUAAUGGGGAAAGAAGCACCGGCUAACUACGU